CCUACGUGAGGCAGCAGUGGGGAAUAUUGGACAAUGGGCGCAAGCCUGAUCCAGCAAUGCCGCGUGAGUGAUGAAGGCCUUAGGGUCGUAAAGCUCUUUUACCAGGGAUGAUAAUGACAGUACCUGGAGAAUAAGCUCCGGCUAACUCCGUGCCAGCAGCCGCGGUAAUACGGAGGGAGCUAGCGUUGUUCGGAAUUACUGGGCGUAAAGCGUACGUAGGCGGUUAUUCAAGUCAGAGGUGAAAGCCCGGGGCUCAACCCCGGAACGGCCUUUGAAACUAGGUAGCUAGAAUCUUGGAGAGGUCAGUGGAAUUCCGAGUGUAGAGGUGAAAUUCGUAGAUAUUCGGAAGAACACCAGUGGCGAAGGCGACUGACUGGACAAGUAUUGACGCUGAGGUACGAAAGCGUGGGGAGCAAACAGGAUUAGAUACCCUGGUAGUCCACGCCGUAAACGAUGAUAACUAGCUGUCCGGGCACUUGGUGCCUGGGUGGCGCAGCUAACGCAUUAAGUUAUCCGCCUGGGGAGUACGGUCGCAAGAUUAAAACUCAAAGGAAUUGACGG
rnacentral:rRNA from 1 species